rnacentral:rRNA from 1 species
UACAGAGGUGCCAAGCGUUGUUCGGAUUUACUGGGCGUAAAGGGCGCGUAGGCGGUCGUGACAAGUCACUUGUGAAAUCUCCGGGCUUAACUCGGAACGGUCAAGUGAUACUGUCGGACUAGAGUACAGAAGGGGCAACUGGAAUUCUCGGUGUAGCGGUGAAAUGCGUAGAUAUCGAGAGGAACACCUGCGGCGAAGGCGGGUUGCUGGGCUGAUACUGACGCUGAGGCGCGAAAGCCAGGGGAGCGAACGGG